rnacentral:rRNA from 1 species
CCUACGGGGGGCUGCAGUGGGGAAUAUUGGACAAUGGGGGGAACCCUGAUCCAGCCAUGCCGCGUGUGUGAAGAAGGCCCUCGGGUUGUAAAGCACUUUCAGUGAGGAAGAACGCCUGGUGGUUAAUACCCAUCAGGAAAGACAUCACUCACAGAAGAAGCACCGGCUAACUCCGUGCCAGCAGCCGCGGUAAUACGGAGGGUGCGAGCGUUAAUCGGAAUUACUGGGCGUAAAGCGCGCGUAGGUGGCUUGAUAAGCCGGUUGUGAAAGCCCCGGGCUCAACCUGGGAACGGCAUCCGGAACUGUCAAGCUAGAGUGCAGGAGAGGAAGGUAGAAUUCCCGGUGUAGCGGUGAAAUGCGUAGAGAUCGGGGGGAAUACCAGUGGCGAAGGCGGCCUUCUGGACUGACACUGACACUGAGGUGCGAAAGCGUGGGUAGCAAACAGGAUUAGAUACCCCAGUAGUC